rnacentral:piRNA from 1 species
UGGCUUCGUUUCUCCAUCACAGACACCCA